CUAAACUUCUCUACUGCCACCAUGUGACUGGGCCGGGGAGCCUGGAGGGCUUCUAUUGGGCAGUUGCCCCCAUGUCACUGUCCUAACCAUGGCCUUUCCCCAACAGCGUCAUCCCUCCCAGUAAGAAGUGGUUCUCAUCCUAAAACCUCUGUUUCCUGGCUGUGUGAACUGUCCUUCACAGGAAACAACACAGAUUAGUUUCAAGGACAUGGUAGGGUUGGUGUUGGUGGAAGCUGCAUUUUUGUACCCUAAAA
rnacentral:lncRNA from 1 species